UCGAGACCCUCCUGGCUAACAUGGUGAAACCCUGUCUCCACUAAAAAUACAAAAAUUAGCUGGGCAUGGUGGCGCAUGCCUGUAAUCCCAGCUACUCAGGAGGCUGAGGCAGGAGCAACGCUUGAACCUGGGAGUCAGAGGUUGCAGUGAGCCGAGAUCGUGCCAUUGCACUCCAGCCUGGGCGACAGAGCUAGACUCCAUCUCAAAAAAAAAAAAAAAAAGUUGUCAUAUUUAUGGUCACAAAAGCUCAAGAGCUCAGGGCUAUCUAUCCAAUGAAGUCCUCCAUUUAAAUCUAGCCACAUUCAGAGAAGAGAGGCAGGAAAUGAGACUUGGGGGAAGAGGUAGCCAGGACCAGAAAUUAAAGUGUGACUGUGGUAAUGGGAAUAUAAAAGUAUCUGAGGUUGACAGAUGGGAGAAAGGAAAAUAGAGGCUACAAAGCAGAAGAUUAGCACCUGAAUGAAAUGAACAAGUAGUGAUGUAACAUAAGAAAAACAAUAAACAGAAAAAUAUUUUCUCUUAUAGGUAACUAUAUAAAAUAAAAUUUGCAAAAUCAAUUUUAUCUUCUAAUAGAAUUUUCUCUGGGGAAAUACCCUGCCCCUAUGGGUCUCUAAUAAAUAUGUGAUGUCCAUGAGAUAUAUCAAACAAACCAUGUUGCAGUUUACGUAUGAGAUCACCUCUUGUAAAAGGAAUUGAUUAAAGAAAAUCUAAAUGUUAAAAUGGCCCUAAUUGCUGGCUCAGUUACAUGUGCUAAACUACAUCCCUGUGGUAAGAUGAAAAUUUUCCCUAAAGAGUGCAGUUUGACUCUCCUUUUAACACCUUCUUUCUAUUUUUUCUUUUGUCUUAUGCUGUCUUAAGCCAAGAGUCUGAAGUGAUGACACAAUGCUGAUCAUAUCUAUUAUUUUCAUCUUUUGUUGAAAGGAGCAAAUAAGUGCCCCAGCCUUUAUGGUAGUAUCCUCAGACCCAUUUCACAGAUGGAGUAGAGGAAGCUCAUCUGCUUGGUGAAGGUAUAGGUCAUUCUUUCCAUUGUUUCAGGGAAAGUGUGAAAUAAGAGUCUGUGGUUGUCAUCACCUGAUGUCACCUGCCUGAUAUGAAUGAAUUAGCAGCAUUUCUGGGUUAACCCAGUGAAUACAGGUGAGCCUGGCUGAGGACAGGUACAAAAGCACUCCUAGAAGUUCAGGGUCAGCAGGUUUUUUUCUUAGCUCAAUGGGAGAGUUAGACUUUCUUCCCUUUAGGGUUCUCCUGCCCAACUUCAGGCUACUUCCCCUAUUCAGAUGAUAAACUCAAGCCUUUCAAGCACAUUUAUUUAUUUUUUGCUUUUUAAAACUUUAUUUCAACAUAACUAUGCUUACAGAAGUACAGUCAUAUUGGCUAAUAGAAUGCAAUUUAAGUUUAAACUUACCCUGUACAAUUUGAAUAAGAAACUUGGUACGUGGUUUAGGAUUUUAAAAAUGAUUUGCAGUCUGGUUUAUUUUUUAUCUAUUACAAAUGUAUAAAAGACCCUCCAUCAAAUUCUGCUAAAGAAGGCAGCAGAAACUUGAGAAAAUUACCUUUGGUUUGUCUUAGAAAAAAAACAGGCAUUGCACUGCUUAAGUUUAUAAAAUUGGUGCAAAAAAAAAUUGUAAUGCUUCAAUGCCAAUUUAGAAAGUUCAGUUACCAAUGGAUAUGGAAAUGGGUGUGAAGGAGCCUAUAUACACAUGUGAAACUGUAAAUAUCUGAUUUAGGUAAUAUUGCCUGUAGAUUAUAAAUCUACACACACCAAGAUUCAUAUAAUUUCUCCAAUCUGAAUUAACACUAUCUGUUCACUUCAUCUGCUGAGGUCAAUCAGGGAACUGGACACAGUAGUUGUUUUUCUGAUGUAUGCAAAAAAGAAAAUGGAAUUGUUUCGUUUGCUUUUCAGUCCAGAAGUCAGUAUACUAUGGGCAAGGUGUUCCUUCCGUUGUCAACAUUCGUAGAGUGACAAACAAUGAGGUCUACUUGGGUUUUAAUUUGUAUCAGCACUCAUAUCCAAAGCAGUCUCCAAAGUUAAUGAACACAUGACUUUAGAAGUGACUCCAAAAAAUAAAAUGGCCCUGCUUAGAAGAUUAGAGCAAAACAUUCAGCAAUAUUUAUAAGAAGCCUUAUCAAAAAAUGCAGCCCCUUGUGAAUUACACCUCAGUAUUAAAAAGUAGCCCCCAAAUAAGAAGUAGCUCUGAAAAACAAAGAGGAAAAAAUGUAACUUAAAAUAUCUUAAAAACCAGCAGGGUGCAGUGGCUCACGCCUGUAAUCCCAGCACUUUGGGAAGCGCCAAGGUGGGUGGAUCACGAGGUCAUGAGAUUGAGACCAUCCUGGCUAACACGGUGAAACCCCAUCUCUACUAAAAAAAAAAAAAAAAAAAAAACUUAGCCGGGCGUGGUGGCGAGCGCCUGUAGUCCCAGCUACUCAAGAGGCUGAGGCAGGAGAAUGGCGUGAACCCGGGAGGCCGACCCUGGAGUGAGCGGAGAUCACGCCACUGCACUCCAGCCUGGGCGACAGUGCGAGACUUCGGUCUCAAAAUAAAUAAAUAAAUAAAUAAAUAAAAAUCUUAAAAACCAAUGUGAAUAUAGGUUCAAAAGAUGAUAGUUAAAAGAGAUUCAUUUUCUUAAGACUACCUAGGAUUAAGACUUAUAAUGUAUUCUAGUAUUUCAAGUUUACCGCUAGUUACUAAACAUAAAUUUACAAAUAACAUAUCCAUUUUUUCAAACAUAUAACACUUAAAAGCAAGGGAAUAGCCAUUAUUUCCCUCUGAUUCUGUUUUUUUUGCUCUCCUCACUUUUUUUCAAAUACAGAUUAUCAUUUCCAUAUAAAGUUUUCACCAGGUAUGUCGAAAUCUCUUAAAUGGUAGCUUCUGGGGAAAUAUUCUCUCUCAAAUCUUGCAUGGAUUGGGGUGGAUUUUUUAAUAUUUUAUGUAUGUAUGUAUGUAUAUAGAGAUGAGUCUCACUGUGUUGUCCAGGCUGGUCUCGAACUCCUGGGCUCAAGCAACCCUCCUGCCUCAGCCUCCCACAGUGUUGGGAUUACAGGCAUGAGUCACCACAACUAGCCAGAAGGAAUUUAAUAAUCAAAAUGCAAUUGGGUUUCAGAUAUUUUAUUGUGGGUUUUUUCCCCCGCAAUGUGUGCCUCAAGGACAUAGUAAGACUUAGAGCAGACUUUUAUUCUCUUUCACCUAUAUGGACUCUGAGAGGUAAAGGAGUUUGGAAUUUUUAGAGAAACCGGGGAAGUGAGGAAAGGGAAGUCAAGAGACUUCUGUUUUGUCCUGGAGAAUGGCUAGCAGAUGGAGGGUUUACUUCAAGGUAACCCAGGCACAAAAUCCAUAGAAAUCAAAAAACUUGGGUAGUGUUGAAAAGAGUAGUUUUGACUUGGAAUAGAGAAGGGGUAUAUAGAAGCUGCAAGGAAUAUUUGGAAAAUAACAUGGUGAUUUACAGUUAAAACAUUAGAUUUUAGUCCUCAUUGUAACUUAAUAAUUCAAGGACCCUAAACAAGUUGCUUAUUGGCUGGUCUUCAAUUUUCUCAUCUGUAAAAUAAUGACAAUAAUAAAUAUACCUACCUCAUUGGCUUGCUUUAUAA
rnacentral:lncRNA from 1 species